UAAUCGGGCAUCAAGCAAUUUACCGAAGCUAUGGGAUGUGUAAACAUCGGUAGGGGAGCAUUCCACUCCGCGUUGAAGGUGAAGCGUGAGCUUUUCUGGAGCGUGUGGAAAAGCAAAUGUAGGUAUAAGUAACGAUAAAGGGGGUGAGAAACCCCCUCGCCGAAAGACUAAGGUUUCCUGAUCAACGCUAAUCGGAUCAGGGUUAGUCGGGUCCUAAGGCUCAGCCGAACGGU
rnacentral:rRNA from 1 species